GUGGUGGCUCAAUGGCAGAGCACUUGCCUGGCAUGUGUGAGGCCCUGGGUUUGAUUCUCAGCACUAUA
rnacentral:tRNA from 1 species